AGCUUUGCAUAGUGACAGUAUUGUAACCAAUGAGGUUUAUCUGAGGCAUGGUUAUUCCUAAUUGAAAACUUUUCCCAACAAUAAUAACACCUACCUCACACUGAUAUGAAUGUCAAUUGAGAUAAUAUAAAUAAU
ensembl:snRNA U4 U4 spliceosomal RNA